ACGGGUGAGUAACACGUGGGUGAUCUGCCCUGUACUUCGGGAUAAGCCUGGGAAACUGGGUCUAAUACCGGAUAUGACCACGGGAUGCAUGUCUUGUGGUGGAAAGAUUUAUCGGUGCAGGAUGGGCCCGCGGCCUAUCAGCUUGUUGGUGGGGUAAUGGCCUACCAAGGCGACGACGGGUAGCCGACCUGAGAGGGUGACCGGCCACACUGGGACUGAGACGCGGCCCAGACUCCUACGGGAGGCAGCAGUGGGGAAUAUUGCACAAUGGGCGGAAGCCUGAUGCAGCGACGCCGCGUGAGGGAUGACGGCCUUCGGGUUGUAAACCUCUUUCGACAGGGACGAAGCGUAAGUGACGGUACCUGUAGAAGAAGCACCGGCCAACUACGUGCCAGCAGCCGCGGUAAUACGUAGGGUGCGAGCGUUGUCCGGAAUUACUGGGCGUAAAGAGCUUGUAGGCGGUUCGUCGCGUCGAUCGUGAAAACUGGCGGCUCAACUGCCAGCUUGCGGUCGAUACGGGCGGACUAGAGUACUUCAGGGGAGACUGGAAUUCCUGGUGUAGCGGUGAAAUGCGCAGA
rnacentral:rRNA from 1 species